GAUGAAGAACGUAGCGAAAUGCGAUAAGUAAUGUGAAUUGCAGAAUUCAGUGAAUCAUCGAAUCUUUGAACGCACAUUGCGCCCCCUGGUAUUCAGGGGGGCAUGCCUGUUCGAGCGUCAUUUCACCACUCAAGCCUCGCUUGGUAUUGGGCAACGCGGUCCGCCGCGUGCCUCAAAUCGACCGGCUGGGUCUUCUGUCCCCUAAGCGUUGUGGAAACUUUCGCUAAAGGGUGUUCGGGAGGCUACGCCGUAAAACAACCCCAUUUCUAAGGUUGACCUCGGAUCAGGUAGGGAUACCCGCUGAACUUAAGCAUAUCAAUAAGCGGAGGA
rnacentral:misc_RNA from 1 species